rnacentral:rRNA from 1 species
UGGGGGAUAUUGCGCAAUGGGGGAAACCCUGACGCAGCAACGCCGCGUGAAGGAAGAAGGUCUUCGGAUUGUAAACUUUUGUCUUUUGGGACGAUAGUGACGGUACCAAAGGAGGAAGCCACGGCUAACUACGUGCCAGCAGCCGCGGUAAUACGUAGGUGGCGAGCGUUGUCCGGAAUUACUGGGUGUAAAGGGCGUGUAGGCGGGUAAUCAAGUCAGAUGUGAAAUACCGGGGCUUAACUCCGGGGCUGCAUUUGAAACUGAAUAUCUUGAGUGCAGGAGAGGAAAGCGGAAUUCCUAGUGUAGCGGUGAAAUGCGUAGAUAUUAGGAGGAACACCAGUGGCGAAGGCGGCUUUCUGGACUGUAACUGACGCUGAGGCGCGAAAGCGUGGGGAGCAAACAGG